rnacentral:rRNA from 1 species
AGUGAACGCUGGCGGUAGGCCUAACACAUGCAAGUCGAACGGCAGCACAGUAAGAGCUUGCUCUUACGGGUGGCGAGUGGCGGACGGGUGAGGAAUACAUCGGAAUCUACUUUUUCGUAGGGGAUAACGUAGGGAAACUUACGCUAAUACCGCAUACGACCUACGGGUGAAAGCAGGGGAUCUUCGGACCUUGCGCGAUUGAAUGAGCCGAUGUCGGAUUAGCUAGUUGGCGGGGUAAAGGCCCACCAAGGCGACGAUCCGUAGCUGGUCUGAGAGGAUGAUCAGCCACACUGGAACUGAGACACGGUCCAGACUCCUACGGGAGGCAGCAGUGGGGAAUAUUGGACAAUGGGCGAAAGCCUGAUCCAGCCAUACCGCGUGGGUGAAGAAGGCCUUCGGGUUGUAAAGCCCUUUUGUUGGGAAAGAAAAGCAGCAGGUUAAUACCCCGCUGUUCUGACGGUACCCAAAGAAUAAGCACCGGCUAACUUCGUG